CUGACGGCAGAUAGCUCUCUGCAACUCUCACACACUGAAGCUAAGCAGGGCUGCGCCUGGUCAGUACCUGGAUGGGAGACCACAUGAGAAAGCUAGGUUGCUGCCGGA
rnacentral:rRNA from 1 species